AAUAAGUUAAGUAAGGGCGUAUGGCGGAUGCCUAGGCUCUCAGAGACGAUGAAGGACGUGAUAAGCUGCGAAAAGUUACGGGGAGAAGCACAUA
rnacentral:rRNA from 1 species